ensembl:misc_RNA Metazoa_SRP Metazoan signal recognition particle RNA
GCUGGGCAUGGUGGCUCAUGCCUGUAAUCCCAGCACUUUGGGAGGCUGAGGCGGGCGGAUCACCUGAGGUCGGGAGUUCAAGACCAGCCUGACCAACAUGGAGAAACCCUGUCUCUA